rnacentral:rRNA from 1 species
CCUACGGGAGGCUGCAGUGGGGAAUAUUGGACAAUGGGGGGAACCCUGAUCCAGCCAUGCCGCGUGUGUGAAGAAGGCCCUCGGGUUGUAAAGCACUUUCAGUGAGGAAGAACGCCUGGUGGUUAAUACCCAUCAGGAAAGACAUCACUCACAGAAGAAGCACCGGCUAACUCCGUGCCAGCAGCCGCGGUAAUACGGAGGGUGCGAGCGUUAAUCGGAAUUACUGGGCGUAAAGCGCGCGUAGGUGGCUUGAUAAGCCGGUUGUGAAAGCCCCGGGCUCAACCUGGGAACGGCAUCCGGAACUGUCAAGCUAGAGUGCAGGAGAGGAGGGUAGAAUUCCCGGUGUAGCGGUGAAAUGCGUAGAGAUCGGGAGGAAUACCAGUGGCGAAGGCGGCCUUCUGGACUGACACUGACACUGAGGUGCGAAAGCGUGGGUAGCAAACAGGAUUAGAUACCCGAGUAGUC